CCCCUAGAUGUUCUGGGCCGCACGCGCGCUACACUGAACAGUUCAACAAGUCUUAACCUUGGCCGAUAGGUCUGGGUAAUCUUUGAACGCUGUUCGUGAUUGGGAUAGACCUUUGCAAUUAUGGGUCUUCAACGAGGAAUUCCUAGUAAACGCAAGUCAUCAGCUUGCAUUGAUUACGUCCCUGCCCUUUGUACACACCGCCCGUCGCACCUACCGAUUGAAUAAUCCGGUGAAAUCUCGGGACGGCGGCUUGGUCGCUUGCGUCCGACUGCUGAAACUUGAUUAAACCAUAUCAUUUAGAGGAAGGUGAAGUCGUANCA
rnacentral:rRNA from 1 species